UCAUUCUUUUGUCUGUUUUUCUUUUCAGUAACAAAAUUCUUUGAAUUCUUCUGCUCAGUUUUAUGUUUUGCUGAUUUCUUCUCAUCUCUUGUUUCCUCAAUUUGUUCUGGCGUCUCUUCUUCUUCGCCAUUUUUGAAUAACUUAUACUUUCUUGAGGAAAAUUGCAAGGGUGAAAGCUUAUAGUGUUUUAGACUAGGGGUUGAAGUAUUGUCUGGACUAAAGAGACCUUUGUAAGGAGCAAUCAAAUUUUUGUUCUUUAUCUGUUUAAUUUCUACUUGGUCAUUUCUUACUUCAAUGUUCUCUAAAUUUUCUUCCUUUUCCUCUACAUUCUUCUAAAAAGUAGUGAAAUAGUAAUAAUAACGUAAAUAAUAAAAAUAGCAAUAACGAAAGAAUAUUUACCUGAUUCUUACAAACAGAGUUGCCACAUUUGCAUAGUUCACUGCAUGAGACGUUCUUUCUAAAGCAACCACAGCGUUUGGUAGCACACUUGCUUUUACAUUGACAUCCACGCACAGAAAUUGAUGAUUCUCCAACACUAUUCUUACUCAGACGACCGUUUUCAAUGGUGAGAAGCUUCACUUGUUCCUCAAGACGUGCUAUCUCCAACAUUGUAUCGUGUGUUUGUGUUGCUACAUUUCUCUUUUCACUGAAAGCAAUAUAAAAUCCAAAGAAGGACCGACGAAUAACGCGAGUAUAAUGUACAAAUAAAGAUUAUGAAAUUAAUAAAUUACGCACCUUUUGGUUUUUGUGUGUGACAUUUUAAUUCCACUGACUUCUGCUAUCUUCUGGCGGUUGACGGUUUACGUUUAAAUUCAGAAUCGCAGAGGAGGGGGAGAGCAGUCGGGAUUGGGAGCACUGUUUGACUCAGUUUUGACUGAUCUGACCUCAUUAUGAUGUUCCUUUUCUGUCGGUUAUUGUUCUCGAAAUGGAAAGUGAAAUCUCGAGAUUUGAUUCGAAACAUUUGAUAGUCGAUUUCUCUACGAUAAUUGGAAAAGAGAGACUAAUAUUUUUAAAAGUUUGGACAAUUUUACGAUGUACAUUAUUACCAAACAGAGCAACUGUGGCGCCACAAACGAAAACAAAGAUAAGUCAAUGAAUGGAUAAUAUAACAAAUUAGUAAUUUACAAUCAUUAUGCGGUAUGUACUUCGAAACAUAUAAUGAAAGUGUUAUUAACAUGUGAUAAACACUUCAGAAGGGGAUUCUGCGAACUGAAAUAAAAUUUCAGCCUCGUUCUUAAAUCAUUAUCACUAUAUUAUAUCUGCAUGUAAAAUCAUCGUUUAAAAUUUCCUGCGAUAAACAUCGCGGAAGCAUUCAAGCUGAGAUAAGAAAUCAUCAAAUCUUACGUACACUGAAUAUAUACGAUCAACUACAACACAGGUGCAUGGGGGCAACCAAAGACGAUGACAAUGAAGAGUUAACAGUCUAUGAAAUUGUGUCUUGUACGAAUUAAUGAAAGUCUAUUUUAUUUGUAAUAUAUUUCAUUAAAUUAAUGCAGAACAGAAACUAUGACUAAUUGUUGUGCUCGAAACUGUAAUAAUACAACUAAGAAGGAUUAUAUUAUGAAAAUCUUUUCACGCGAUCCCAAACGCAGAGCACAAUUGGCUGCAAAUGUAAGGCGAAAAGAUUGGUUCCUAUAUUUGCGAAGUUUGCUUUUGUAGCUUGUAAUUUUAUAACAGUUUAAAUUAUUUAAAUUAAACUGGAACAUUCUGAA